GGUUAAGUUAGAAAGGGCGCACGGUGAAUGCCUUGGCACUAGGAGCCGAUGAAGGACGGGACUAACACCGAUAUGCUUCGGGGAGCUGUAAGUAAGCUUUGAUCCGGAGAUUUCCGAAUGGGGAAACCCACUGUUCGUAAUGGAGCAGUAUCUUUAUCUGAAUACAUAGGAUAUUGAAGGCAGACCCGGGGAACUGAAACAUCUAAGUACCCGGAGGAAGAGAAAGCAAAUGCGAUUUCCUGAGUAGCGGCGAGCGAAAGCGGAAUUAGCCCAAACCAAGAGGCUUGCCUCUCUGGGGUUGUAGGACACUCUAUACGGAGUUACAAAGGAACGAGGUAAAUGAAGAGAGUCUGGAAAAGCUCCGUCAAAGAAGGUAACAACCCUGUAGUUGAAACUUCGUUCCCUCUUGAGUGUGAUCCUGAGUACGGCGGAACACGUGAAAUUCCGUCGGAAGCUGGGAGGACCAUCUCCCAAGGCUAAAUACUCCCUAGUGACCGAUAGUGAACCAGUACCGUGAGGGAAAGGUGAAAAGCACCCCGGAAGGGGAGUGAAAGAGAACCUGAAACCGUGUGCCUACAAGUAGUCAGAGCCCGUUAUAUGGGUGAUGGCGUGCCUUUUGUAGAAUGAACCGGCGAGUUACGAUCCCAUGCAAGGUUAAGUACUGAAGAGACGGAGCCGUAGCGAAAGCGAGUCUGAAUAGGGCGUUUAGUAUGUGGUUGUAGACCCGAAACCAGGUGAUCUACCCAUGUCCAGGGUGAAGUUCAGGUAACACUGAAUGGAGGCUCGAACCCACGCACGUUGAAAAGUGCGGGGAUGAGGUGUGGGUAGCGGAGAAAUUCCAAUCGAACCUGGAGAUAGCUGGUUCUCUCCGAAAUAGCUUUAGGGCUAGCCUCACGUUGUGAGAGUCUUGGAGGUAGAGCACUGAUUGGACUAGGGGUACCUCAACGGGCUUACCGAAGAUUCAGUCAAACUCCGAAUGCCAAAGACUUAUCCGUGGGAGUCAGACUGCGAGUGAUAAGAUCCGUAGUCAAGAGGGAAACAGCCCAGACCACCAGCUAAGGUCCCCAAGUAUACGUUAAGUGGAAAAGGAUGUGGAGUUGCUUAGACAACCAGGAUGUUGGCUUAGAAGCAGCCACCAUUUAAAGAGUGCGUAAUAGCUCACUGGUCGAGUGACUCUGCGCCGAAAAUGUACCGGGGCUAAAACGUAUCACCGAAGCUGUGGAUUGACAUCUUAGAUGUCAGUGGUAGGAGAGCGUUCUAAGUGCUGCGAAGCUAGACCGUAAGGACUGGUGGAGCGCUUAGAAGUGAGAAUGCCGGUAUGAGUAGCGAAAGACAAGGGUGAGAAUCUUGUCCACCGAAUGCCUAAGGUUUCCUGAGGAAGGCUCGUCCGCUCAGGGUUAGUCGGGACCUAAGCCGAGGCUGAAAAGCGUAGGCGAUGGACAACAGGUUGAUAUUCCUGUACCACCAUCCCCGCCGUUUGAGUAAUGGGGGGACGCAGGAGGAUAGAGCUAAGCGCGCUGCUGGAUAUGCGCGUUCAAGCAGUUAGGCUGAUGAGUAGGCAAAUCCGCUCAUCAUAAGGCUGAGCUGUGAUGACGAGGGAAAUAUAGUACCGAAGUUCUUGAUUCCACACUGCCAAGAAAAGCCUCUAGCGAGGCGGGAGGUGCCCGUACCGCAAACCGACACAGGUAGGCGAGGAGAGAAUCCUAAGGUGAUCGAGAGAACUCUCGUUAAGGAACUCGGCAAAAUGACCCCGUAACUUCGGGAGAAGGGGUGCUCUGGUAGGGUGUAUAGCCCGAGAGAGCCGCAGUGAAUAGGCCCAGGCGACUGUUUAGCAAAAACACAGGUCUCUGCGAAGCCGCAAGGCGAAGUAUAGGGGCUGACGCCUGCCCGGUGCUGGAAGGUUAAGAGGAGGGGUUAUCCUUUGGGAGAAGCUCUGAAUCGAAGCCCCAGUAAACGGCGGUACGUAACUAUAACGGUCCUAAGGUAGCGAAAUUCCUUGUCGGGUAAGUUCCGACCCGCACGAAAGGCGUAACGAUCUGGGCACUGUCUCAACGAGAGACUCGGUGAAAUUAUAGUACCUGUGAAGAUGCAGGUUACCCGCGACAGGACGGAAAGACCCCGUGGAGCUUUACUGUAGCCUGAUAUUGAAUUUUGGUACAGCUUGUACAGGAUAGGUAGGAGCCUGAGAAGCCGGAGCGCUAGCUUCGGUGGAGGCGUCGGUGGGAUACUACCCUGGUUGUAUUGAAAUUCUAACCCACAGCCCUGAAUCGGGCUGGGAGACAGUGUCAGGUGGGCAGUUUGACUGGGGCGGUCGCCUCCUAAAGAGUAACGGAGGCGCCCAAAGGUUCCCUCAGAAUGGUUGGAAAUCAUUCGUAGAGUGUAAAGGCACAAGGGAGCUUGACUGCGAGACCUACAAGUCGAGCAGGGACGAAAGUCGGGCUUAGUGAUCCGGUGGUUCCGCAUGGAAGGGCCAUCGCUCAACGGAUAAAAGCUACCCCGGGGAUAACAGGCUUAUCUCCCCCAAGAGUCCACAUCGACGGGGAGGUUUGGCACCUCGAUGUCGGCUCAUCGCAUCCUGGGGCUGUAGUCGGUCCCAAGGGUUGGGCUGUUCGCCCAUUAAAGCGGUACGCGAGCUGGGUUCAGAACGUCGUGAGACAGUUCGGUCCCUAUCCGUCGUGGGCGUAGGAAAUUUGAGAGGAGCUGUCCUUAGUACGAGAGGACCGGGAUGGACACACCGCUGGUGUACCAGUUGUCUUGCCAAAGGCAUCGCUGGGUAGCUAUGUGUGGACGGGAUAAGUGCUGAAAGCAUCUAAGCAUGAAGCCCCCCUCAAGAUGAGAUUUCCCAUAGCGCAAGCUAGUAAGAUCCCUGAAAGAUGAUCAGGUUGAUAGGUCAGAGGUGGAAGCACGGCGACGUGUGUAGCUGACUGAUACUAAUCGAUCGAGGACUUAACCAA
rnacentral:rRNA from 1 species